AUGGGCCCUUGUUUGUCUUGGUUUAUUAUUAGGUUGCUCCGUCGGCCGUGGUCUUGCGUGUCUAUAUAUACAGGUGAGGGCAUACAAGAUUGUAGCACGUGUGUUCUGAGAAAGGAAAAAGGAAAAGACGUCGGUCAGCGACACAUAUGGGCGGCUGAUGCUCCGCUAAAAUGUAGAAUUUUCGCUUGGCUUACGAUCCUAGGAAAAUGUCUUACAGUGGAUAACCUGCAGAAAAGAGGAUGGCCGCACGACCCAAUUUGUUCUCUCUGCCGGGCGGCGGACGAGUGUGUUGAUCACCUCCUAGCACGCUGCUCCUACACCCAAGCUCUAUGGAGUCUGAUGCUCAACCGCUGUAACCUCCCCACCACUCUUGCGCCGACGGCGGCGACAACCAGCCUUGCUGACUGGUGGGAGUCCAACAUGGUGAACGCUAACCUGACCAACUCAAAGGGCUGGGGCGGUCUGGCAGUGGCAAUCUGGUGGUUCACGUGGUGCGAGAGGAAUGCCCGGAUUUUCCAAAGCAAGGCGUCCAUCGUCAGUGUGGUCUUCAACUUGAUGAUUGAUGAAUUUAGGAUAUGGAACCAGGCCGGGCGUCAUAGGAUUCAGCUAUUUUUUGACAGACCUCGAGAGCCAGACUGA
rnacentral:rRNA from 1 species